AUGUAUCUCUGGCGGUGAGGGUGCGCCCCGCUCCGGCCUCUGGCCGUGCAGCGAGUGUGCCCGAGCUGUUCCACCUUUGCAAACCCACUGUGCACCUUUGUCGGCGAGGGGGUCCCAGCGGCCUCCGAGCCGGAUCACAAACCCAAGUUCAAAGAAUGACAAGCGGACAGCGCGCCGCCCAAACUAAAUGA
rnacentral:misc_RNA from 1 species